CGGGUGGGUGUGGAAGGUCACUGCAGGCCGCCAUAGGACAGGCCUGGGCUCACAGGAGCAGGAUGUGGGGAGGGGGAUUGCCAGGCAGGGGUGGGGACCAAAGUGAAGGCCACCUGGUGGGAGCCAGUCAGAGGGGUGGGGCAGGGUUAGAUCACAAGGGAAUCCAAUGCCAGGGGGCCAGGGGAUGUUUUGCAAUGUGGGCAACUGAACCUGAGAUGUGACAAGACCAGUGAUUUGGCGACCUGCCCAGGCAGGCCCAGCCCCCAGGGUAUUGAGAUGACACAUUCUAAACUCAGGUGACCCGGGCCUUGGGAGUGCACUAGCAACUGGCUGUCAGUCACGGGGCUCUUCAGAUAUUUGUCACGUGAAUGAGCCAGACAGUAAGUGGAGAUGCCCUUCCUAGUCACCUACUGCCGGCGUUCACGCUGUGAACCAGCGAACUAGGCCACCGGCCUGACCCAGUUUUCCCUGUGGCCUGCCAAGCCAAGGAGAAGCAGACGCGGCCGGCGCAGGCGUCCAGGGUGACUCGGAGGCGUGGCUCUGCAGUCGCGGCUCUGCAGUCGCCUUGGAGCGGCUGCCCUUCCGACCCCGCCUGGGCUAUGACUCAUCUUCGGUGGAGGAGAAAGGGGCCUUUGUGAGCGCCCAGCUCCGGCGUCUCCUGGACAGCACCGCCCUCCGGUGGCCGCGAGUCAGGAGGGCUGGGGAAGCCGCCCGAGAGGCAGCGCCCGAGCUCCCCACGAGCUGCUGUGCCAUUGGAAGCGCCAGCGCCCUCCCCUCGGAGUCCAGCCAAGUCGGGGGGAAGACUGGGAGAGAAAUCGUCACCCCCUAGAGGGCAAGUGGGCUCAGCCCUAGGAAAUGCUUGUUUCUCCAGCCCCUCCCAGACGCCCCGGGGAAACGGCAUCCCAGAGCUCCGCUCCCUGGAGGCCCCUCCAGAGAGGGACCCGGGGCCCCGCCCCGCAGCUGGAGAAGGGGUGAAUGCCUUUCCUACCUAACGCCUGGUCCGCGGCCCUGCUUGUUGCGUCUCCAAGACCACGUGUCUGCUGCAUUUUAAAAAUAGUUGUGAACAUCUGACUUUCUCCUUUUACUUUGGAGUUUGCUGAAAUGUAACCUCAGAAUAAGUGGGGUAUGACUGCCCUCUCCUUUGAGGGAAAAGAAAAAGUAUUUUCAGGCCAGGCACGGUGGCUCAUGCUUAUAAUCCCAGCACUUUGGGAGGCUGAGGUAGGUGGAUCACUUGGGCUCAAGAGUUUGAGGCCAGCCUAGGUGAAACACUGUCACAACAAAAAAUACAAAAAUUAGCCAGGCAUGGUGGCGCAUGCCUGUGGUCCCAGCUACUUAGGAGGCUGAGGUGGGAGGAUUGCUUGAGCCCAGGAGGUUGAGGCUGCAGUGAUCCAUGAUUUCACCACUGCGUUCCAGCCUGGGCGAUAGGACCAGACUGUGAGUCAAAAAAUAAAAGUAUUUUCAUCCCUCCUUAUUAACAGCGAAAUUGUGACCCAAAGACAAUACUCAUCAAAAUCCAACCAGUUUUUAGUGAUCUGAGAGUUUGUUUUAAAAAAAUAAUCCUGGCCAGGCACGGUGGCUCAUGCCUGUAAUCCCAGCACUUUGGGAGGCUGGGGCAGGCGGAUUACCUGAGGUCAGGAGUUUGAGACCAGCCGGGCAGGCCAACAUGGCAAAACCCCAUCUCUACUAAAAAUACAAAAAUUAGCUGGGCGUGGUGGUACAUGC
rnacentral:lncRNA from 10 species